rnacentral:ribozyme from 16 species
UCGAAAGAAAAAAAAAUGACAACAUGCAUGCAGUUUUAUAUUUUUUUGUUUCCUUCUCUCUCUUUUUAACUCUUUUUUUUUUUC